rnacentral:lncRNA from 12 species
UAUUAAAAAAUAAAAAUAAAUAAAAUGCAAGAAGGAGUUGGGCGUUUUCAGAUUUUCCUGAUCCCAACAUCAGUUUUUUGGGUUGGGAUCAGCUCUGCCCCAUCAGGCUGGGGCUGGAUUUGGGAUUCACAAAAUUCCAAACUUUCCCCACAUUUUCCCCUUUAUUCCAAAUUUUUAACCCUCCAAGGUCGCCAUGGGGACGGAUUUGGGAUCCACAGCUGAGACCAAGAGGCCCCAAAACCCCCAAAUUCCGAAUUUCCCCCACAUUUUCUCCUUCAUUCCCAGCUUUUAACUCUCUUCUUCCUCCCAGUCCCACCAAUGAGGUUGGAUUUGCCCAAACUGGUUCUGAGAAGCCUCAAAAUCUCAAAAUUCCAAAUUUCUCCCACAUUUUUCCCUUUAGUCCAAAUUUUUAACCCUCCAAGGUCGCCAUGGGGACGGAUUUGGGAUUCAUAUCUGAGCCCGAGAGGCCUCAAAACCCCAAAAUUCCAAAUUUUUCCCACAUUUUUUUCUCCUCAUUCUCUGUUUUUAACCCUCCAGUGGCCAAGUGGGGCUGAGUGGUGCCCGCUGGGCAGAGCGACCUUCAUCAUCCUCAUCCUCAUCCUCAUCCUCAUCCUCAUCCUCAUCCUCAUCCUCAUCCUCAUCCUCAUCCUCAUCCUCAUCCUCAUCCUCAUCCUCAUCCUCAUCCUCAUCCUCAUCCUCAUCCUCAUCCUCAUCCUCAUCCUCAUCCUCAUCCUCAUCCUCAUCCUCAUCCUUCUUCUGCUUUUCUUCCUCCUUUUCCUCCUCCUCAUCCUCUUCUUCUUCCUCCUCCUUUCCUUCCUCAUUCUUCUCCUCUUCCUUCUGCCUUUUCUCCUCCUCCUCCUCCCAUUUUUUCUCCUCUUCCUCCUCCUCCUCUUCAUCCUCCUCCUCCUCCUCCUUUUCCUCCUUCUGCUUUUCCUCCUCCCACUUUUCCUCCUCCUCCUUCUGCUUUUCUUCCUCCUCCUCCUCCUCUUCAUCCUCCUUCUCCUCUUCUUCCUCCUCCUUUUCCUCCUCCUCCUCCCUCUUUUCCUCCUCCUUUUCCUCCUCGUCUUCUUCCUCCUCCUUCUCCUCUUCCUCAUCCUCCUCCUCAUCCUCCCUCUUUUCUGCCACCUUUUCCUCCUCCUCUUCUUCUUCUUCCUCAUCCUCCUCCUUCUCCUGCUUUUCGUCCUUCUCAUCUUCCUCUUUCUCCUGCUUUUCCUCCUCUUCCUCUUCAUCCUCCUCCUCCUCCGUCUUUUCCUCUUCCUCUUCCUCCUCCUCUUCUUCCUCCUUUUACUCCUCCUUUUACUCCUCCUCCUCCUUCUUCUGCUUUUCCUCCUCCUCAUCUUCCUCUUUCUUCUGCUUUUCCUGCUCUUCCUCCUCCUCCUCCUCAUCCUCUUCCUCCUCCUCCCUCUUUUCUUCCUCCUUUUCCUCCUCCUCUUCUUCUUCCUCCUCCUCCUCCUUCUUCUCCUUCUGCUUUUCCUCCUCCUCCUCCUCCUCUUCAUCCUCCUCAUCCUCCUCUUCUACCUCCUCCUUUUCCUCCUCAUCCUCUUCCUUCUGCUUUUCCUCCUCCUCCUCCUUUUCCUCCUUCUCCCCCUUUUCCUCCUCCUCCUCUUCCUCCCUCUCCUCCUCCUCCUCCUCUCUAAGAUGGCCGCAGCCCCGAAAUGGUUCUUUGCAUGAGACGCCAUCUGCGAGGCGGCUCCCACGCCCGGCCCGUGGCCUUUUUAUGCAACCCCCCCCCCCCCCCCCCCCCCCCCCCCCCCCCCC